AUCCAGCUGACGAGACCAAAAUGGGACGAAACGCGCGUCCUGGAU
rfam:Schistosoma haematobium scaffold288_10, whole genome shotgun sequence.